rnacentral:lncRNA from 1 species
UGAAGUAAAAUAACGUCCAAAUAAAAGUUCCAGUUCACACAGUGAAGAUGUGACAGAGGAAGGAUGAACUUCGGUAUCUUGUCAGGAUAGAAGAUGGUAGAAUGGCAAAGACAAAGAGGAUGGUCAGACAACUGACGACAAUGUGGUGCUUGAUCAAAGGCGGACAAUAGAUGCUUUUGAAGAUGAGCAAUGUAAAUUUCCAUUGAAUCUUUGACAGAGACGAGUGAUGGAUUUAACACUUUUCCUCAAUCGCUGUUUCCUUCUCCAGCAAUCAUUUUUUGCUGAUGACAGAUUUUUAUCUGACUAUGACAAAGUCUCCCACGAUAGUUUUUAUACUACUUCUCAUGAUCUGACCUUUCACCUAUAUAAAGGAUGGCAUAAGAUCUCACUCAUAACAUUGAUCAUCAUCAAACACCCGUUUUAUACUUGUCUUGAUUUAAUUCAUUUGGGGACAAGAGUCCACAGGCUUCAUGUUAUCAUGUGUCACAUUGCGAUGUCUCUCUCUCUCUUUCUCC